CGGUGGAUGCCCUGGCAGUCAGAGGCGAUGAAGGACGUGCUAAUCUGCGAUAAGCGCCGGUAAGGUGAUAUGAACCGUUAUAACCGGCGAUUUCCGAAUGGGGAAACCCAGUGUGAUUCGUCACACUAUCAUUAACUGAAUCCAUAGGUUAAUGAGGCGAACCGGGGGAACUGAAACAUCUAAGUACCCCGAGGAAAAGAAAUCAACCGAGAUUCCCCCAGUAGCGGCGAGCGAACGGGGAGGAGCCCAGAGCCUGAAUCAGCAUGUGUGUUAGUGGAAGCGUCUGGAAAGGCGCGCGAUACAGGGUGACAGCCCCGUACACAAAAGCGCAUGUGCUGUGAGCUCGAUGAGUAGGGCGGGACACGUGGUAUCCUGUCUGAAUAUGGGGGGACCAUCCUCCAAGGCUAAAUACUCCUGACUGACCGAUAGUGAACCAGUACCGUGAGGGAAAGGCGAAAAGAACCCCGGCGAGGGGAGUGAAAAAGAACCUGAAACCGUGUACGUACAAGCAGUGGGAGCACAGGUUUACCUGUGUGACUGCGUACCUUUUGUAUAAUGGGUCAGCGACUUAU
rnacentral:rRNA from 1 species